GUUAAGCGACUAAGCGUACACGGUGGAUGCCCUGGCAGUCAGAGGCGAUGAAGGACGUGCUAAUCUGCGAUAAGCGUCGGUAAGGUGAUAUGAACCGUUAUAACCGGCGAUUUCCGAAUGGGGAAACCCAGUGUGUUUCGACACACUAUCAUUAACUGAAUCCAUAGGUUAAUGAGGCGAACCGGGGGAACUGAAACAUCUAAGUACCCCGAGGAAAAGAAAUCAACCGAGAUUCCCCCAGUAGCGGCGAGCGAACGGGGAGCAGCCCAGAGCCUGAAUCAGUAUGUGUGUUAGUGGAAGCGUCUGGAAAGGCGCGCGAUACAGGGUGACAGCCCCGUACACAAAAAUGCACAUGCUGUGAGCUCGAUGAGUAGGGCGGGACACGUGGUAUCCUGUCUGAAUAUGGGGGGACCAUCCUCCAAGGCUAAAUACUCCUGACUGACCGAUAGUGAACCAGUACCGUGAGGGAAAGGCGAAAAGAACCCCGGCGAGGGGAGUGAAAAAGAACCUGAAACCGUGUACGUACAAGCAGUGGGAGCACGCUUAGGCGUGUGACUGCGUACCUUUUGUAUAAUGGGUCAGCGACUUAUAUUCUGUAGCAAGGUUAACCGAAUAGGGGAGCCGAAGGGAAACCGAGUCUUAACUGGGCGUUAAGUUGCAGGGUAUAGACCCGAAACCCGGUGAUCUAGCCAUGGGCAGGUUGAAGGUUGGGUAACACUAACUGGAGGACCGAACCGACUAAUGUUGAAAAAUUAGCGGAUGACUUGUGGCUGGGGGUGAAAGGCCAAUCAAACCGGGAGAUAGCUGGUUCUCCCCGAAAGCUAUUUAGGUAGCGCCUCGUGAAUUCAUCUCCGGGGGUAGAGCACUGUUUCGGCAAGGGGGUCAUCCCGACUUACCAACCCGAUGCAAACUGCGAAUACCGGAGAAUGUUAUCACGGGAGACACACGGCGGGUGCUAACGUCCGUCGUGAAGAGGGAAACAACCCAGACCGCCAGCUAAGGUCCCAAAGUCAUGGUUAAGUGGGAAACGAUGUGGGAAGGCCCAGACAGCCAGGAUGUUGGCUUAGAAGCAGCCAUCAUUUAAAGAAAGCGUAAUAGCUCACUGGUCGAGUCGGCCUGCGCGGAAGAUGUAACGGGGCUAAACCAUGCACCGAAGCUGCGGCAGCGACGCUGAUGCGUUGUUGGGUAGGGGAGCGUUCUGUAAGCCUGCGAAGGUGUGCUGUGAGGCAUGCUGGAGGUAUCAGAAGUGCGAAUGCUGACAUAAGUAACGAUAAAGCGGGUGAAAAGCCCGCUCGCCGGAAGACCAAGGGUUCCUGUCCAACGUUAAUCGGGGCAGGGUGAGUCGACCCCUAAGGCGAGGCCGAAAGGCGUAGUCGAUGGGAAACAG
rnacentral:rRNA from 1 species